rnacentral:snoRNA from 1 species
GCCGUUGAUGACCUGAUGGUUGCAGAACAGGUGAAUGUUUACCUGAAAUCUGUUGAUAUUUUUCAUGAACUAGGACGGUCUGAGGC